GACGAACGCUGGCGGCAUGCCUAAUACAUGCAAGUCGAGCGGAGUGGAUGAGAAGCUUGCUUCUCUGACGCUUAGCGGCGGACGGGUGAGUAACACGUAGGCAACCUGCCUUUCAGUUUGGGAUAACUUCCGGAAACGGAUGCUAAUACCGAAUACAUCAUCUUCUGGCAUCAGAGAAUGAGGAAAGACGGCGCAAGCUGUCACUGAGAGAUGGGCCUGCGGCGCAUUAGCUAGUUGGUGGGGUAAUGGCCCACCAAGGCGACGAUGCGUAGCCGGCCUGAGAGGGUGAACGGCCACACGGGGACUGAGACACGGCCCAGAAUCCUACGGGAGGCAGCAGUAGGGAAUCUGCCACAAUGGGCGAAAGCCUGAUGGAGCAAUGCCGCGUGAGUGAUGAAGGUUUUCGGAUCGUAAAGCUCUGUUGCCAGGGAAGAACGUCCGGGUGAGUAACUGCACCCGGAGUGACGGUACCUGAGAAGAAAGCCCCGGCUAACUACGUGCCAGCAGCCGCCGUAA
rnacentral:rRNA from 1 species